ACACUGUUAUACUCACAUGCAGUCACACAUAUAUCACACACACACAUAUAUAUAUAUACACACACACUCUUACAGUCACACAAUCACACACUUAUCACUUAGACACAGUCACAUACUCACACACUUAUACAAACAAUUACAUAUGCUUACACACUUAUACACACUCUUACACACUCACAAUCACACGCCAACAGUCACAUAAGCUCGCAUACUUAAACACACGCUCACACACUCUGAUACUAGGACAUGAAACUCAGAAGAACCUCUGAGUCUGCCAAUGGCAGGUCCUGCGGGUUUCCCUUGCCUUUAGUCCCUGAAGGUGAGCAGACCCAGCAGCAGCCUGUCCUGGGGCUCAGAAAGGGACAGAGCUGGCUCCCAGCCCCGAGCCACCAGCGCAGUGUGGAUCGUUAGCAACGAGGGCCUGAUGUUGCCAGCAUGUUUCUUCUCUGCCUGGCUACAGAGUCACCCCCACGGUGGUCAGGGGGUGGAAUUUUGACCAGAGUGUGGCCCUGGCUCCUGCUGGACAAUGCUGCCCUGGUUUGUCACCCUCUAGUGGCCUUCAGACAUUGAGUAUUUGUAGAAAUUCAGAUUACAUUCCAGUGGAACUCCGCCAGGAAGACGUGGGGUUUGCGCUUCAUACUUUUCAAUGGUUAACCUUGUCCUAGGGACGGACCUUUCCAGCAUCAAAGAAAUACAUAUCUACUGAUCUACCGUAUCCACCAAAGUUUGUGAUGCCUGCAUAGACGCUUGUUAAAAAAAAUAAUAAAAAAUACAACAAAAAUAAAUAAAACCACACAAUUGAAUUGCCUUUGAAAGUGGGAGACGUUCUGUCUCCAACAGAUGGGAGACAAAAAGCUUCUUCAGAGUACGUAUGUUUUGUAUUCCUUUUCUAGUAGGACUGACUUGAAAUAUUGGUGGCUUUUUUUUUUCUUAGUGAAGUGUGUUGCUUUUGUGCGUGAUAAUAUUUGAAUGUAAUUACAGCAGUGCCAAUUUGCCAAAGAUGUUGGACUAUUUUUCUUUCGUUGGGAGAAGGGAAGGGGGCUGAGGGCGGGAUGUGGGAGGAACCGGGUUGGGAUCCUGGUCUAAUUUUUUUUAACUUUUUUUUUCCUGUCAAAUCUGGGAUUUGUGGGUUUAUUUUAAGUUAAAUGGUUGACUGCAACACCUUUAUUUUAAAUUUAGCUGAAGAAACAUGCAAUAAGCCUGGUGUAGUUUCAAUAUCUGUGUCCUUUCAUGAGUGACUGUUCCUUGUGAAGAAUUGAUUUUAUGUAACCUUUAUGUGAGAUAAUUAUUUGUAAAUAUUUGCCAUAAUUUUAUUGGUUCCUAAAAAUAAAAGUAAUUUUUUUAAGUUCAG
rnacentral:lncRNA from 1 species